UAUUUCCUUCUUUGUUCUGAUUUUGGGCUGGAAGAGUCGAGAGAAAACAGAGAAAACAGAGAGAGAGAAAGGGAUGAGUGGCAAGAGAGAGAGAGAGAGAGAGGCUGUGAGCUGGGGACAAAGCAAUGGAAAUCGGAAGAAGAUGGGGUACAACAGAGGAAUCGAGGACUCUGAAGGUUCAACCCAGUGAGCUAUCUUUCUGGGAGUUGUUGAUAAUCUUCUAGCUGCGCGGAAGAAACACUUUUUGAUAUCGGGGAUCAGCUCGGAGAACUAGGUAGGGACAGUAGUUAUUUGAUAGAUAUCCUUUUUGGUAUAGAAUGAAUUUGAAAAUGUUACGAUCUGAAAUUUUGUUUAGUUGUAUUACUGAUAUGUGUGCGAAAAAGAAAAUUUCUCUCUUUUGUGAUGUAUAUACAUAUUAGAGCUUACCAGGUUGGUUUUAUAUUUUUGGGAAUUUUAUGGAAAGCCAGUUUUAGGUGAAUAGUUAUGUGGUAAUGGAUAUCAAGGAAAGAUAGGGAAAAUUCUGCCGAAAUUUGAUUUUAUUGGAACAGUCCUAUAAUC